AAUAGUAAAUUAGUAAUAACUCAAAUAUUGGUAAAACAAAACACAAAAAUGUUAGUGCUUGCAUAUUCAUCUUUUGGGGAGCCGAAUGUUGGAGAAGAAAAGCUUUGAAAUUUCGGCAAUUUGAGAUCAAAAUUCAAGGAGGCUGAUAAGCAUAAAACAGAGUUUACUUCAGACUUCACAGGAUUUAAGAAAGAUGGGCCACACUGGUUGGUGAUAACACAGACAUCAAACUUAUAGCCACAGCUUGAACACACUCGAGAGCUUCUGCUACAAACGGAGACACUACUCCCCCAAGCAGCGUAGAUUUGGUGACCAAAAUCUCCCCUCAAUGUUUCUAGCAACCAGUUCUGACCCCGAUGUGAACUCUUUUGGAUCGUAAGCGACAUUAAAAUUAAUACAAACAAAUGGGUCUCUCGGAGGAACCCACUCUGGACCCAUGCGAUUCCUGGAAAUCCCCAACCAUAGUGGGCUUGGAGCUGUGAGGGAAUUUGGAGUGGUCACCCGUUCUGAAAGUUUGGUUUUCUUCUGGUGAACUGGACAUCCUAUUAUUUACGUUGAGGUUACCCACAUCGCACAUGAAAUCCUCCUACAAUUAUCAACUGAACCACUCUGAAAAACCCAGGACAACUCCUAAAAACAUGGUCAACAGUUUCAGGACCCCUUCCGCAUUUUGGACAAACUGUGUUGACUCCAAUUUGUUUGUUAUAGAGAUUAGCUAGUGUAGGUUAAAAAUUCAAGGAAAUUUUACAAGUUAUGAUUUGUUGUUUUGAAUUUAAAUUUAAUCCCCACAACUUCUUGUAAAAUCCUUUCAUGGUAUUUUGUAAUUCUGUAAGUUGAUUAUCACAACCACCAUCAAGGAGCAACUUAUAAUCACUUCUCACCGAGAAAA